rnacentral:rRNA from 1 species
GAUGAACGCUAGCGGGAGGCCUAACACAUGCAAGCCGAGCGGUAUUGUUUCUUCGGAAAUGAGAGAGCGGCGUACGGGUGCGGAACACGUGUGCAACCUGCCUUUAUCUGGGGGAUAGCCUUUCGAAAGGAAGAUUAAUACUCCAUAACAUAUUGAUUGGCAUCAAUUGAUAUUGAAAGCUCCGGCGGAUAGAGAUGGGCACGCGCAAGAUUAGCUAGUUGGUGAGGUAACGGCUCACCAAGGCGAUGAUCUUUAGGGGGCCUGAGAGGGUGAUCCCCCACACUGGUACUGAGACACGGACCAGACUCCUACUGGAGGCAGCAGUGAGGAAUAUUGGUCAAUGGGUGCAAGCCUGAACCAGCCAUCCCGCGUGAAGGACGACUGCCCUAUGGGUUGUAAACUUCUUUUGUAUAGGGAUAAACCUACCCUCGUGAGGGUAGCUGAAGGUACUAUACGAAUAAGCACCGGCUAACUCCGUGCCAGCCGCCGCGGUAACAC